AAUGCCUCUUUAUUCAAAAAAGAAGAAGAAGAGAUAGUGCCUCUCUCUCUCUCUCUCUCUCGUACAUAUCUUAUCCUUUCCAGUCACAAAUUCUUGUGGUCUUUAAGUUUGUUUGCAUGUUAUCAUGGUAUAGAUCUACUUCUUCAAUUCAAAAGGGAAUUGGAUCUCUUGGGGUUCGAUCUGAAGAAGCUCGUCGGUGCUCAAAUUGGAAGCGAUCGAUCGGAGUGAGGACUAAGAAGAGAUGGUAGGUGAUUUUUCAGCUGAGGGAUUCGAAUGAUUUGAGAGUGGGUCUGCAAAAUUGAGAGAGAUGCAAAGCAGCAGCAGCAGCAGCAACAUUGAAGCCUAUGGAUUUCCAGAUAACAGUAGAGAUCGCCAGUUAUUUAGGAGUGAAUUCUUCCUAUGGAUCUGGAAUUUGAUGACAAUGAAGCGGUGAUGGUUGCUGAAGAACAGAUCUGGAAAUUGUGACUAAAUGAGAAUAUUAUUAUAUGGGAUUUGACUCAUAAAAUUAAUUAUAUUAAUUAAUCUUUAA